CCUACGGGAGGCAGCAGUGAGGAAUAUUGGUCAAUGGGCUUACGCCUGAACCAGCCAAGUCGCGUGAGGGAAGAAUGCCCUCUGGGUUGUAAACCUCUUUUGUCAGGGAGCACCGCCGGCUACGUGUAGCCUGGCUGAGUGUCGCUGAAGAAAAAGCAUCGGCUAACUACGUGCCAGCCGGCGCGGUAAUACGGAGGGGGCAAGCGUUAUCCGGAUUGACUUGUUGUAAAGGGGGCGCAGACGGCGAUGCAAGACAGGAGUGAAAGCCCGGGGCCCAACCGCGGAACGGCUUUUGGAACUGCGUGGCUAGAGUGCAGGAGGGGCAGGUGGAAUUCCAGGUGUAGCGGUGAAAUGCGUAGAUAUCAGGAGGAACACCGGUGGCGAAGGCGGCCCGCUGGACUGCAACUGACGUUGAGGCCCGAAAGCGUGGGGAGCAAACAGGAUUAGAUACCCCGGUAGUC
rnacentral:rRNA from 1 species